UACGUAGGGGGCAAGCGUUGUCCGGAAUUAUUGGGCGUAAAGCGCACGUAGGCGACUUUGUAAGUUAGAGGUGAAAGCCCAGGGCUUAACCCUGGAAUUGCCUUUAAGACUGCAUCGCUAGAAUUGUGGAGAGGUGAGUGGAAUUCCGAGUGUAGAGGUGAAAUUCGUAGAUAUUCGGAAGAACACCAGUGGCGAAGGCGACUCACUGGACACAUAUUGACGCUGAGGUGCGAAAGCGUGGGGAGCAAACAGG
rnacentral:rRNA from 1 species